UCUGUAUAUUCCAAACUUUUUUUUUUUUUUUUUUUGCUUUGUGAUGAGAAAUUUGUUGAAUG
rnacentral:ribozyme from 1 species